rnacentral:rRNA from 1 species
AUUGAACGCUGGCGGCAGGCCUGACACAUGCAAGUUGAGCGGCAGCGGGAAAGUAGCUUGCUACUUUUGCCGGCGAGCGGCGGACGGGUGAGUAAUGCCUGGGAAAUUGCCCAGUCGAGGGGGAUAACAGUUGGAAACGACUGCUAAUACCGCAUACGCCCUACGGGGGAAAGCAGGGGACCUUCGGGCCUUGCGCGAUUGGAUAUGCCCAGGUGGGAUUAGCUAGCUGGUGAGGUAAUGGCUCACCAAGGCGACGAUCCCUAGCUGGUCUGAGAGGAUGAUCAGCCACACUGGAACGGAGACACGGUCCAGACUCCUACGGGAGGCAGCAGUGGGGAAUAUUGCACAAUGGGGGAAACCCUGAUGCAGCCAUGCCGCGUGUGUGAAGAAGGCCUUCGGGUUGUAAAGCACUUUCAGCGAGGAGGAAAGGUUGAUGCCUAAUACGUAUCAACUGUGACGUUACUCGCAGAAGAAGCACCGGCUAACUCCGUGCCAGCCGCCGCAGUAAGAC